rnacentral:tRNA from 1 species
GCCGAGGUAGCUCAGUGGUAGAGCAGCCGAUUCGUAAUCGGCAGGUCCGGGGUUCAAAUCCCCGCCUCGGCUCCA